rnacentral:rRNA from 2 species
UUUUAUGGAGAGUUUGAUCCUGGCUCAGGAUGAACGCUGGCGGCGUGCCUAAUACAUGCAAGUCGAGCGAACGGAUGAGAAGCUUGCUUCUCUGAUGUUAGCGGCGGACGGGUGAGUAACACGUGGAUAACCUACCUAUAAGACUGGGAUAACUUCGGGAAACCGGAGCUAAUACCGGAUAAUAUUUUGAACCGCAUGGUUCAAAAGUGAAAGACGGUCUUGCUGUCACUUAUAGAUGGAUCCGCGCUGCAUUAGCUAGUUGGUAAGGUAACGGCUUACCAAGGC